UCAAGCACAAGGCCGUCAAGACAGAUCUUUUGGGAGUCCGUUUCAACGUUAAGGCUACUCUUCAAGGGAACACCUUCAAGAUCCGAGUUCCCUUCCCAAGACGCGCACAAGACACAGAAAGGAUGUGAAGACACUGAUAGCGGAAAUGCUUCAAGCUGCCAAGUCUGUUUCCAAUUAGUUUUUGCUGAAACAAAGAUUGGAAAAGCGUCCUCCUGUCUUUCUAAA